CAUGCAAGUCCACCUGCAAAAUCUGGCGGGAGUGAAGAGUCUAACGUUAAUGUUAGCACUAGCAGAGAAUCUGCGCGUCGAAAACGGGAGCUUUGCACAAUUUUGGGAGAGAGUGCUGCCAGCAAAGACGGGGCGGGUGCGACUGCCACUUCAGAUCCUGAUGGAGAUGGAGACAUCUCUACAAUGGACCCUGAGCCAGAAGUGGUCCAUCGUGGAUCACAGUGCAACAUAAGAUGUUUACAUCGUUCAUUAGGUGUUCAGGUAAAGCCUCAGAUGGUGGAUGUGGGGACUCAAACCGAAAGGUUUGAGCAUCGCAGAUCAACUCCACUGGCCAGUCCUGAACAAAGUGAUGAUGAAUGGUCAUUUUCUGAUAUCA